CAGCGCCCUGCCCUGGUGCUGUGUGGGGGUUUGCUGUCUCUCCUGCCCCACAAGCUUCUUCUGGUGUGUGUGUUAGGGUUUAAGGGCUUUGCUUAGAGCUGGUGCGUGGUUUAGUUGUACAUCUUUUUCCUAAAACUUCUCCUAGUACCCAACCUGAGUGAUCCCUGGUGCGACUUAAGGCUGUUACCUCUCAUCCUAAACAGAAAGCUUAAGGGAGACCUCGCACCAGCUGUGCAUACGGGGACGUCAAGGCAAAAAACAAGAGAUACCGUCUGACUAUGAGAAAUAUUUUCACCAUUUGCCCAGAGAGGCUUUGCAUCUAUGUAUGAUGUGUACCGAAGGUAAACCAUUUUGUGUGUUUACAUCAUGCUACAAACUGGUAGUAGUGCAUUACAUGUUCUCAGACAGGUGGCACCAGAUUCUCUCCAAUAUUCUGGUGUGUGGUGAAUAUAUAGACAGCCAAAUGAAAGCAAAUGCUGUUAAAAGUGCAUGCUUCUGACCUGAAAAACAGCAGUCCUUUACCAGAGACGAAGUGGCUUUGUGGUACCAACUGAUGAAAAAGCUAUUUAUGACUGAAAUUAGAACGACCUUCUACUUGAUUUUGCAUUGCAAAAUACAUAUUACAACAACAGUUACUUAAAGCCAAAAUGUAUCAUCUUUUUAUUUCCCAUUCUUGUAUGGAAAAUGGAGGUUCUUGUAGCACAACUGCUCCUACAUACUGGGCUUCCACAUUUGUCCACUACUGACUCAGACAAUAUUACCUUUUUUAUUGCUGACGCUUUCUGCAGUGUCCUGGGUUUUCUUGGCAAGUGUCUCAUCCAAAUCACGACUGAUUUUUGGACCCUGCUUCAUUCCUUCAUUUCACAAACUGCUGCCUAUGGUGACAAAACAGCAGGUAAUGCUGCAUUGUAAUGAAGAAAUGCUAUAAAACUGCCUCGUGGGAAGUACAGAAUUGGUUAUACCAUUCCUAUUCUGGAUACACAUUUAUCCUAGAAAUUUAUUUUCAUUCUCUUUCCAUUUUUUUUUUUUUUUUGGCUUUUGGGUUCCUAACAUAAACUCUCAAUUUCUACUAAUGUACUUAUUCUCCUCUAGCUGAAACAUAAAAGGAAAUUAAAGGACCCGUUUUGGAGAAAACUAAAGAUUUUUUCCCCCUCUGCUCCAUUAGAUUAGCACUCUGAGGCUGUAGAGCUUUGAUACAAGGUUUUUUUUUUUUUUUUUUUUGAUAGAAUAAACAGGAAUGUUGCCUUUAAUUCAAAACCGCCCAUUUGUCACGUAGCAGUAGGGAGGUCAACCUCUUUUGCAGUUUAUUUCAUUCUUCUGAUCAAAGUUCUCUUGUUCCCAGGAAGUGGGAAAUUAAAUUGGAUAUCUGUGAAAACGAAGACGUAAUCUUACCACUCCUUCAUAUGAACAAGUAAUCUAGGGUCACUUCUGCCCUCCUCCGUGGCAGACGUCACGUGAAAUGUUGUCAUCUUCACAAACUCUACCUUCUAUCUUUAAUACAGUUCAGUGCUACAAUUAGCAGACAGUUCCUAGGUGCAGGUAGCGCUUGGUCCUUGAAAGUUUAAUGGGAGUAUGCCAGUGUGUGUGUUGACACUGAUGUGCAUGUGGGAGUACCAAAUCCUCAAAGGCACUGGGGAUGUUGGGUAUAAUUCCCAGUAUCACCUAAAUGAUACAAGACAGGUUAUUUAUUUAUUUACUUAUUUUGGCAUGAAAAGGACCGGCGAAUGCUGAAGUACAUAGGCUUUGGAAGUGCUUUGUGUAAAUGUAAGCUUGAUUUUCACGCGAAGCUGAUCAAACUGAUGUCCAUGAAGGAGCUGUGUGCGAGAAUUUUAAACAGCUCCCGCUUUUUAAUAUUCACUUCCUCUUUGGUUUUAAUUAUUUUGUUCCUACGUUUUCCCUUUCAAUUUACUAAAAAUCUAGAAAUGUAAUUAGAGAGAGGCUGAACUCAGAGAAAGCUGCCAGCAUUUCUACAUCAUGAUUAAAUGUAUCAGCCAUCCCUUUAGUGAGAGACUGAAAAACAGGAUUCUCAUAAUUAUCUCCCUGUUAUCCAGGAAAGAAUCUGCAACACGUACAGAUACAGAGUUAUUGAAAAUGCAGCACUAAUUAAAAUCUCAUAUAGGCUUCUGAUGAUCAGGAGAGUAUGAAAACACAGUUAUUUAAUUAUUUCCCAUAUUUGCUAUCUUUGUUACAAAAACAAACAAAACCAUUCUAAGCAAAAUCCAUCUCCAGUCACUGGGGAGACUUAAUGAGGCUUUUAUAUAUGCAACAGCCAAAGAAAUACUGCGAGUUACUUGAUUCACUUCUUAUGCUGAUGAGAAAUCCAUGAAGCACAUUUUCCACAUGCAAUGCGGAAGGAACGCUGUGGUGCCUUCCCAAGAAGUAAUAGAAUCAUUUAUUGGCGGAAGGGCAUGGUUAGUGUUUGAUUUAAGAUGUAAAAAGAAUAUUGGUCUCAUCGACUUCACGUUAUUUCAUCGUGAAAUAGUAAUAUCUGUGCCAUAGCCAUUUAAAAAUGGAAUAGGUUAUCCCUCCGGUCUGACUUCUGCUGAGGUAUCUUCCUCCUCUUGAAAAUGUCAUGCUCUCUCCGAGCCCAGUACAAAGCCGACAUUGUUAUUUAUCGUGUCGAAGGAGCCUAAGCUUUGGCACUAGCAGAACACACUAGAGAACAGUAAGUGCUGAUGUGGAUGGUGAUGAAAGGCAAAGCUUCUGAGAUACAGGCUUCUUUGAACCGAGCAUGUCUGAGGAUUCACCAGGGACAGGAAACUGGGUUUUUUUUCUUCUCAAUCGCUUUUCCUCAAAAAUUAAUUUGCAACAGAAUAGCAAAUACGGAGCUAGACAGAGUCCACUACUCCAACUUUUCCUUAACUAAGAAUCAAAUCAUACUGAAGACAUUUUUCAAGCUGUUGGACCAAUUAACUAAUCCUCAGUUGCACCGAGUGGGAAGGUACAGAGAGAUAAUUGUACAAAAGACUUGGGAGUCCAGGAUAAGAUUCACUCUGCGGAGCACAAAGUAUGAAUGAGCAUAAAGGGCUCAAAUAGCUGGGGAAGAAAAGAAAAGGUGAAUCAACUAAGAAAAAGGUAGAGGACAAUGAAAAGUGAUGCAAAAGGGAAAAUGUAAAUGCGCAGUUGCAGUCUGGACCUUGCAGGGAAUAACAGCAAUGACUAUUACUGCAUGAAGUUACUGCAGCCAGAAUGGCAGUAACGAGCAUUCCGAUGUUUAAUUUCAUUUGAAGCUGUGCCCAGUUAUUGCUUAGAAAAUUGUUUUCUGGAGAAGUGAUUUCAAGACCAAGCACUCAGAAGUCACGAAGCCUGACCAGAAGCGAGGCUCUCCCUGUGAUAUUUCAGAUGUACUGUACAUAUCUACAGACUAUAGCCUGGUAACAUUAUCCUUAAUCUGAUUUCCUAACGUGACAAAGCUUACGUUGUCUGAUAUUCUGUCUUUCUGCACGAUCCGUCAGUAACUGCUCAUUCUGCACUGUUUUCCAACUACAUUUAGAAAAAGGAGGAGCCUCAGUGCUAUUUUGAUGGAAUGUCAUCAAAGUGGGGGCUGGGUAGAGAAAAGGGAAUGCCAAAGUUCUCUGUGACGUUACACUAUGAAUACUCCAUUUGCAAAAGAUAGAGAAAGCUUAAAUGGGAGCCACAAUCAACCAGAAGCCUCAAAUCCAUGGAAAACUCCGUGGUGUUAAUUCCAACAUUUACAGAACAACGUUCUGAAUGGGCUGUGCUGUCCCUUCCUGUGGCUUGUUAAGUGGGUAGGUGACGCCCGUCAAGAUGGAUGUUCUGUUUUCUCAAUCUCAAGACCAAGAUUUUGUUUUUCCUGCCACGUUCGCUGUAAAACUAAUUAACAAAUUACAGCCUAUCACAUUCGCUAAAUGAGAUCUGCCAAGACCUUGGGAGAAAGUCAUGCUACAGUUCUGAGAAUAACCUCAAUCAGAGAAGGAACUUGCAAAUCUUUCUUGAAAGCAAGUCCAGCUCUUCAAAGCUGAUAAUGAAUAAGAGAGGCAAUAUUUGCCUGGAAAACAGUUAGCAUUGUUCUGAGAAGUGAUUUUAAGAAGUUUAGCUAAUGAGUGUCAGGCGAUCAAACUGCCAGGAGAUACAAACUCAGCUGCCUGCUUUACCCGUGACCACAGAAGAUGGAGAUAAUGAUCUCUGCUGUUUAAGUGUACAUGGGGGCUGAGAUUUUAUGGCCUUGGAACGUUUAAUUUCUCCAGCCUGAAAUGCCAUUUGCAUUUUAAUUUUUUCCUUAAAAUAUUUGAAACUGUAAACACCUCAUUGCGCAGUGACACCCAGCUGCAGCAGCAGCUUCAGUCUGAGGUAAUUACUUUUCUUCCUGUUCUUUGCAUGCAUCUUCUCACCACUGCUGAAAUGCUGUUAGUUAUGGACUGCAACUCUAAGGACGCGUUACGAGAAGACGUAUUUCAAACACACAUCCACUCCCUGCUGCCCUGACAAACUCUCCACGUGCUGAAAUGGGGCUCCAAAGCUGGCCGUGUUUUCCCCAGUAGGUGGCUGAUUCCCGUGUACUUUUAGCCUGAGAAAUCCGAUAGGAAUUCUUGUUUCCUUUGCAAGAGCGUGCGGAGGCCUGCGUGUUACGCUCACGUAACCACUGAGCCUUAACUGAGUGGCACAGAACAGCUCCCAGUUGUACCUGAACAUUUACCAUUAGGGUGGUGGGGUUUUUUUUAGUAGCAUCUUUAAGAUUGGUAACUCGUUGAUUUCAAAGCAGCACUUCGUUAAGUAACUCCAUUAACCCUUAAACUGUUAUUGAUGUGUAUUAACUAACCUGUGAGCAGCAGAUUACCAGUGUUAAACACUUACACGCACACGCAGUACCACCCAACUUAUUCUACAUGCGCUCUAAACAUUGUUUUAAAACAAUCUGUUGGAAUUGCAGAGGGAACUCAUAAAUGCAAGGAAGAUGAAAGAGAAAGCAGCUGCCAAGCCUUCCCCCCUGUGAACACCAAGUCUCAGAUAGGUCUUUUUCUAAGGCACUUGAAUUCAAGUCCUACUCGACUGAUUUCCCUUCUCCUCAGAGAAAGGCCACUCAUCUGCUAAUGAAGGAGCAAGCCUCAAGAUUUCGCGUUAGUAACUCCUUGGCAAGUCAGCUCCAGCUAAAAACAUUAUACAGUGAGUGUUUGUAACAUCUUGACUGCAAAGAGCAAGUGCUUACACCUAAGAUUUCAUUCUGGAAAAUAUUCCACUAUCACAAUAAAGCUAUUGCUUGGAGCUGGGGAAAGAAAAGCAAGUGACAAAUCAAGCACAAAAGCCUAGAUAUAUACCUACCUAUACAAUCAUUAUUUUUUAAUUCAACUAGAUUUGCACUUAGUUUCUCUCUGAUAAACCGAGGAAUAUCUAAAAAAGCAGAGACAUGCAAACCAAUGCCUGGGUGCUGCGCUUUAAUCCUUGAGACCUCUACACUGCUGAUGAGUUUAUAGCCCAUGCUACCACAAAAUACCUCUUAUAAGCAAAACACAACUGGACAGCAGUAGUUAAGUUAAAGAUUCCUUUGCACAGCCUUACACUAGGUGUUAAGCAGUAUCUAGAAAACCUAGAAUAAGUUGUGUUUUGUAGGUUACUAAUCUCUUAGUUGAGGAUGGAAAGCCUUUCCUACACUUCAUCAGAAAUCCAAGCACUGAGAUUGAAUUUCUGCCUCCUGCCCUCUGGUUGAAGGCACUUCCACUGUUUAUAAAAAAAGAACAAAGCCAACAACACAGCUUAAACAGCUAUUCCUCUGCAAAAGGUGCCUCCAAGAGGAACUAACACUUCUAAUAAUAAAAAGUAACACAGGAUGAAAACUUUAUUAGGUAGAAACCCCAGUUCCUUUGGAGUUCCCUUGUAUUUAUCUGGAGAUAGCUGAAGUCAAGCAGGAACAUACAGCAGAAGCCACCAGGCAGGCUUCUGAGAAUGUGGUAAUCAGUCUGUCACUGGGGAGAGCUGCUGCAGCAGUCCUCCUGGCAGCUCAAAGCUGGAGACCUGUUCUGUGGCAGCGCUGCUAAAACCAGCCAAGAAAAAAAGCCAGUGCUGAUUUGAAAAUAGCUUCUUGAAUUGCUUUUGCAGCCUCCUCUGGGAUCUCACAGUACAUGAGGUCUGGAGCAAAGACAGCAAGCUGUCCAAGGAAAUCCAAAAGAUUCAGACUCAAGGUUAGCACAAGAGCCGACUUAAAGAAUUUCUUACUUAGAUGUGGAGGUGCAGCAAGAACCAAGUUGGAGCCAUACCAGGAAUAGGCUUUAGAGCUAAAGUGGGUCAAGGCAGCCUGAGGAAUCAGGAGAGAAAAUCUCCUUUAUUUUCUUCCUUCUUGGCAGACUGAUCCUUAUAUCUGUGCUCCGAAUACAGACAAGUUGAAGAUACUGGUAAAGACAAAUCUUGGCUUAGAAAAUAGGUCCUCGAAAGCUCCCAGCUUUUUAAUUUCUGCUGGUCCUCCAGGGGGGUUGAGCAGAACAUCCCUUGAGCCCACGGCAGCUUCUUUUCCAUGGUUAAGGAAUC